CAAAAGACACAAGGAGGCCACAUUACUUGUGAGUUGCUGCACCGUUCUUUCAUAUGGCUGCUCUGAUUAGUGAAGGGAUCCGCCAGCAACACAGGACUGCAGCGUUGACCGCAAUAAUACCUGCAGAACAGCCACCAUGAAAACCCCCACACCCAGACGAAAUGUCGCAUCACUUCAAUAAAGUAUGGUGGAGCACCUGUAACAGUUUUUUGGCCUUCAGUGAGGCUGCUCCAGAGGUCAUCCGCGAUGGACAUGAGGAGGAUGAGCUGGCGCUGGAAGCCCGUCAGCUGGUUCCACCAGUCAUGCCAGUGCACCAUGUCUGCGGAGCCCUGGCAAGAUGGCAGCAGCACCAAAAGAGCAACCUGUAAACUGAGUCUGAACAUUACCUCACCACAUCAUAUUGAAAUCUGACAGACAAAAAUAUGUAAAAUAAAAGACUACCAAG